ACCUUAAGGCCGCUCCGUAAACGCAAGAAGCAGAACAUAUCAAUUGUCUUUAUAUAUGGUUUAAUUUAACCAAUCACGUUAAUGCAUUCUGAGGCUGUAUAACCUCAAAAGCUAACGUUUUAUCGUUUUGUUUAUGGUCAGUUUAAAAAUGUUACGUCAGUAUAUGUUGGUUCUUUUAAACCAGUUUUAGGUAUUUGUUAGUGCAUAUUUCGAACAAGUUUAUUGAUGUGUACGAUCAGUUUACCCUAAAGUGCCAUUUAGAUUAAAUGAUGAAGAAAUAUAUGAACGAAAAUAUGCCAGUGGAAAUGAUUAUUGAUUUACUAGAUGCUGCUCAGAAAACACCAGGCUGCCAUCAGAAAAACAGCUUUUUGUUAAAAAAAAUAUAUCAGCAGUCAGAUUUUGAACCAUUUUGGAAUGUAUUCACUUCGGUUAUAAAGGGAAUACUGAAAAUUGAUUAUAAACAGAAGGAUGUUUAUGUUGGGAGGAUGUUCGACUUUAUUAGCUUAUAUUGUACUACAUUGACAAAGGCAAAAACAUCAGACGAUGAGAGAGGUAUUGAUGAUCCGUUGAUUCAUAAAUUGCUUCAUUAUUUGUUAAAGACUAGUUCAGCAUCUUCGGACAGUAUUUGUUUCCGAUCUUAUCAGUUGUUAAACAAAAUUUUAAAUUGUUUGACGGAAUAUGAGAUGACUGAUGAUUUGUUUGCCUACAUGCAAAGUGUUUUAAUUGAUCGUUUGUUGGAUGAUAAUAGUGCGAUACGGUUACAAACAAUAGAUGCCAUUUGUCGGUUUCAAGAUCCAACAAAUCCUACGGAUCCCGUUAUUGAACGAUUUAUGAUGCUUUUGCAUGAUAGCGUGGCUCUGGUCCGACAGCGUUGCGUGGAAAACAUCGUUGUACGGCCCGAUUCCAUAAAGGGUAUUGUAGAAAGAAUAAACGACGUAAAUGUGAAUGUAAGAUUAGCAGCGUUCAAAAGAUUGUCGAAAUGCGUGAAAUCUAUUAAGAUUUCCGAUCGAAGAGAAAUUUUGUUUGCCGCAGUUUACGGCAAAGAUUCCAAAGUUAGUAAAUGCAUUUAUGCAGAGUUGCUGCCGGCAUGGUGGGAAACGUACGACUGCGACAUACUUAAGUUGAUGUUGUCUAUUAGACUGGAUGGAGAUGAAACUGAUAUGAAAGAAACCAGCAAAUUAUUCGAUAUAAUGUUGAAUAAUUUUUUUUUCAAGGGCAGACCUCAGAACAAGCUUGUGGCAGUUUUACCAUUAACAAAUGAAAAAUUAAUCCCAUAUGAACAGUUAAACGUAGAAAUUCUAUCAUACUGGCGGGCGUUAGUUUCACUAUUUACUAAAAAUAAUGAAUUUGAACUUUACGUUGAAAAUGUUAUUCCAGAUGUGGCAAUAUUUUGUGAGUAUAUAAAAGAUUAUUUAUCUAGUCAAACUGAUGAGACCUAUCUGAUACAGCAAUACAUUAUGCAGGAAUUAUUUCUCAUUAUCAGAACGUACGAUCUUUCCGAUAGCUACAGCGCUAAAAGUGUUCAUAUGUUGAUUGAACACUUUUUAAAAAAUGCCAUUCUGGUAGAUGAUACUAUUGAAGUAAUCACAGGCACUUUGCAGUUGAUUUUCCCGGACUGCGAGGCACAGUCUCAAGUUGUAAUGAAAAUAAUUUCGGAUCUAUUGUACCCUGUGGACGCUGAUGGGGAAUUAGAACAGCAGUUGGACAAAGAUGUUCAGCUUGCCAAAUUGAAAGUAGAGCUAAGUACGUUACGUAACGAUCUAGAUGAGGCCAUAGCAAAAACUGAUUUUCAAAAAGCUGCAGAACUUAAAGAUGCAAUUCAGUUAGUAUCAGCUGAAGUAAAAGAAUUUGAAAAUGCAGUUCCUGCACCUAUCCAAGCUAAGACACAGGAUAUUCCAACGAUUUGUAAAUGCCUAGAUAUUUCUUGGGCCUUGCUUCGUUCUUAUAAGAAAAGCAACCUGACAACAACGUUGAAACAUAUGCAAACCGAGUUUGUAACGAAUCUUUUAAUUCAUGAACAUGAAGCAGUUCGAUUUAAAGCUUUGAGAUCGUAUGCGGUAUGCUGCGUACAUGACAAAACGACCGCCUGCACAGGAAUACACGUUUUUGCGUUGCCGAUAUUUGCAUAUCAAGGUGGUCAAGAAUGUGAAUCCCGUACACUCAUCACGUGUAUAUCAGCGAUAUCAGAUCUUUUAAGACUGUAUGGUUCGGACUUGUUGCCCAGCCCAGACCGCGAUCAAUUAUCUGACAGUGUGAAUGAAGAGCACGUAACAAUUUUCACUGGGGGAACAUCACUAUCCGCACUAGUACAAGGACUUGUAGAUUUAAUGGAAAAUGAGGUUUACGAGGUUCAACUAAAGGCAACAGAGGGUUUGUGCAAAUUAAUUCUCGAUGAACGGAUAUCGUCACCUAUAGUGAUUUCGAGAUUGAUAUUGAAAUGGUGCAAUCCUGUUAUUGAUGAAGAGUUGGGAACUCGAUCUCUGCAGCAAUUUAUCGGACACGUAUUGGAAAAAGUUCCUAAUUUAAACAGCAGCCAUGAACAAUUAGAGGAGGCAGUGUUCAAUACCAUUGAGACUUUAGCUCGAGCACCUCAAACUAGCCCUCUAUCAAAAGUCGACAUUAAUGGAAUUGCGAAAUUCUUGCUGGCUCUAUGCAAGGUGUCUCGUCAGAGUUCACAGUUGCAAUCUAACAUAGCAUUGGCAUUGUGCAUCAAGAUAAACCAGGCUCCGCAAGAUAAGAUGUGUAUCAUAUUUUCAAAGAUGCUCUUAAUGCUUGAUUUAGUUGAGAAUCAACGCAUCUUAAGGGAAAUGGUGCCACUGUUAGAAGAUGCUCGAGAGUAUACCUCUAAAACUAUACGACUAAAGCUAACGAAAAUGUUAAGCAAUAUAAAUGAAAAAUUAGUGAUCGAACCCGGAUGUCUGUCGGAAAUUUCCGAAGAGUCGUCAUUCGAUUUGGAUGAUGAAACAUGUGGGUCAGAAGAAAAGGAAGUAGAUGAGGAAGAAAUGCAAGAAAACGACUCGGUUUCUACGACUGCAUAAAAUAUUUCAGAUUUAUUAAAUGAAAAUCACAUUCAUCAUGGUCAAAAGUAGAGAUUAUAACAUGUUUCGAUGAUAAAUUUGACCUGCGUAUAGUCAUUAAACGUAUUAUUAUACGGCAUUUAAUGCAUGCAUAUUGAACAAUACUGUAAGAAACUAUUUGAUUUUAUGAUUGUCAAAAAAUUAAACUCACCUAACAGUCAAUCAAAAUAAAAUUUAGCGUUUUAAAGUCAACGAAAUAAUUAAGUCCAUUUUAUUGCAAAUACACUAAAACAUGAUAGAUGAAGAUGACUAUAACAAUGACUUUAAAAUAGUGCUUAUAAUAAUUUUACUGUUUGUUGUUUUAAUAUUCCUGCUAGUGCUGGUUACCUACAUAUUUCUAGCAUUUAAGUAUUUAAAUUAAACUAAAAUAGAAAUGUACCUAUUUGAAUAAGUAGACGAAUGGUUACUCAAGUAUAAUACAACCCAGGACCCAAAUGUACUUGAAUAAUUAUACAAAUAAAGAUGCUCUGUUAAGAAAA